rnacentral:lncRNA from 1 species
UAUUUUAAAAUUUUAAUUUUAAUUUUAAUACUUAAUUUUUAAAUUUAUUUAAUGAUUCUUUCGAUAUAAAAUUUAAGCUAAUUAUUUUUUAAAUAAAUUUAUAAUUACAUAAAUAAUAUGCAUUUAAAAUUUGAAGUUAAAUAGUUAUUAGUCGACUCAAAUCAAAUAAAUUAAAAGACUAUUUGAGAUUAUAUAGUCAGAUCAAAAUGAGUGUCAGUUGAGGUAAACUUUAUACAUUUGGU